rnacentral:lncRNA from 1 species
UUUUUUUUUUUUUUUUUUUUUAAUUCCUAAAUUCCAGAGGCGCAAGUUUUUCCCCUUUAAGUUGCUUGUGCAGUAUCCCAUCAAGUACACCAUACUUCAAUGUCUUUGAGUUUAUUGGGCACAUUUUUUCCGUUAUGUGAACGAUUGGCAGCCAAAGGUGAACUGGCGAGCUCAUGAAAGUUCUAGUUGUAUGAGAAAAGAGUAAUAGUAUAGGUUUCAUUUUUUAUGUCAUUCUGGUGUUUAUAACUUGUAAUAUUUUUUGAAACAAUUUGCCAUAGGUUCUCUUGCUUCUUGCGAUCUUAUUGUCUUUCUGUAUGACGCAUUAUGUUUACAGGAUAUGAAAGACAUGAGAACUUGCUAUGAUUGUUUACUCUCUGCAGCUGCUGCUACAACAAAUAGUGCUUAUGGUACUUGCUUGAUGUGAUUUAAUAGCUGAAGUUGUAUUUCAAUCUUAAAAUCUCAUUCGGAUAUAAUUUUCUAGCAGCAAGUAGAUCUGAAUGUAUGACCUGAGCUGCCGUGUGGUGCGAACUUGUCCAUGCUUAUGGCCUUGUUUCCUUUAAUACAUGUUUUAAAUAGUUUAUUUGAUACCUAUCUUAUAUUAGAAUGCCAACAGAAAAAACAUAAGUCGGCCUGAAGUUUUUCGAUAAUUUUACUUUUUUUCUUACCUUCCAAGGAUACAUCAAAGCCCAUCCAAAAUGGUGAUCCGAAAUCCUCAGCUUUGGACAUCAAUCUCAGUUUCUUUCUCUGUUGAUCACUCUGAUUGAUGCUUAUUCUUCUGUUGUCCUUCGACUCAAGGAUUAAUCAAUCUUUUCUUCAAAUUGUUCUUUUUCUUACCUCUGGCUUCUCUCCUAACCUUUAACAAAUCUACUAAACUUGUUUCUAUCUAUAUAUUAGAGAGAGAAGCAAUGUCAAUCACUCACUAUUCUUGGUUAUAAUUUAAAAGUUCUUCAAAAUCUCAUCUGUUCAAAAACCCUGUAUUUGAAGAUCCAGAAGAUUAUUAAGUGAUUAGAAAGAGCAAACAUUUGAAUGAUAACUGAAUUUUUUUUU